rnacentral:rRNA from 1 species
AUUGAACGCUGGCGGCAUGCUUUACACAUGCAAGUCGAACGGCAGCGCGGGCUUCGGCCUGGCGGCGAGUGGCGAACGGGUGAGUAAUACAUCGGAACGUGCCCAGUAGUGGGGGAUAGCUCGGCGAAAGCCGGAUUAAUACCGCAUACGACCUGAGGGUGAAAGCGGGGGAUCUUCGGACCUCGCGCUAUUGGAGCGGCCGAUGGCAGAGUAGCUAGUUGGUGGGGUAAAGGCCUACCAAGGCGACGAUCUGUAGCUGGUCUGAGAGGACGACCAGCCACACUGGGACUGAGACACGGCCCAGACUCCUACGGGAGGCAGCAGUGGGGAAUUUUGGACAAUGGGCGAAAGCCUGAUCCAGCAAUGCCGCGUGUGUGAUGAAGGCCUUCGGGUUGUAAAGCACUUUUGGCGGGAACGAAAAGGACUGUGCAAAUACCACGGUUCGAUGACGGUACCCGCAGAAUAAGCACCGGCUAACUACGUG